GACGAACCGAGCGAACGUUGUUCGGAAUCACUGGGCUUAAAGGGCGCGUAGGCGGGUGCUCAAGUCUGUGGUGAAAUCCUCCGGCUCAACCGGAGAACGGCCAUGGAUACUGGGUGCCUCGAGGGUGAUAGGGGUAUGCGGAACUAUCGGUGGAGCGGUGAAAUGCGUUGAUAUCGAUAGGAACUCCGGUGGCGAAGGCGGCAUACUGGAUCACUUCUGACGCUGAGGCGCGAAAGCUAGGGUAGCAAACGGG
rnacentral:rRNA from 1 species